rnacentral:rRNA from 1 species
UCACGAAAUGGUUGGAGCUAAUUAUAUAUAAUUUAUAGAUUAUACCCAGUGUGUGGUAUAAUGCUGGAAAAAGAUAUAUUUAGGUGUGAUAGGCUUUCCAAAAAACCAAGAUAUCUUGAUAGUGCCAAAACGUAUUUAGUACGUAGAGACAAAUAUAAAGUGUUUAGGCUUUAUAUAAUCUCAAAAUUUAAUUAAGAAAUUAAAAGGUUUAAUCGUCUUUUAAGUACAGAUACUAGUAUAAAUUUUAAAUAGUUUGGGGUGAUUAAGCGCUUCUAUAGUAACUAGGUUCUAUAGUAAUAAUGUUACCAUUAGUAUUUAUUAAGGCGUCUAUAAUGAACUCGGCAAAUAAGUAUUCUCGACUGUUUAUCAAAAACAUAGCUGUAUGAGAAUAUAUAUAGUUAUUUCUGCUCAAUGUAACAUAAAUGGCCGCAGUACUCUGACUGUGCAAAGGUAGCAUAAUCAAUUGGCUUAUAAUUGAAGUCUAGUAUGAAAGAAAAUACGGGAAUAGACUAUAUAUAAGGAUGUGUUUUAAAAAUUACUUAAUAAGUGAAAAGACUUAUGACUAAAUAAUAGACGAGAAGACCCUAGAAAUUUUUAGAACAAAUAUUAUAUAAUUUUUGUUGGGGCGACACAGUAGCAUUAAAACCUACUAAGAUGGAUAUGAUUAGUGUACUAGGAGUAUUUAAAUUACUCUAGGGAUAACAGCAUAAUAUUUAAAAGUUUGUGACCUCGAUGUUGGACUAGGAUACUACCGCCCAGAAGGUUGCUAGUAAAGCUCUGUUCGAGCAAUUUACUCCUACAUGAUCUGAGUUCAGACCGGCGUAAGCCAGGUCAGUUUCU